GAUGGGAGAAGGGGAAUGUUCUGACCUUCCAGUAUCACUGGGGCCAACUAGGGGUAAAAACAGAGUGCCAGGUGGUGACACCCAGGAGGGGCAUGGAUGUGGUCUUCAGUGAUCAUCUGACAGCCAGUCAGUUGAUCACACAGUUUUAGCUGUGUCUUCUCCAAAUUGCAAUUCCUCUAUGUUAUGGUCAAGUCUUCAGUUAAGCUGGCUCACUGGAAUUGCCCCAUUUUGGUCUUAAGUUGGCACCCCUUGGGAGAAGGAAAGGACCAGCUCUAUCCAUAUUUUGGAACUGCAGCAACUUGGAGAGAGGAAAGCAACAGCCCACAAUUGCCUGCAUUUUCUUUCCUCUUCAAAACCACUUCUGCUCCAAAGACCAUGAACCUGAACUGAAGAAACGACUCCUUCCUGCUGGCGUGAGAUAAUUCAGUCUCCAUGAUGUCUUAAUCCUGGGCCUCCCUUAAUUGACUUCUAACUGUGCUGAACUGUGGCUGCUAGGAGUUGCAAUGUGGAUCGCAAUUUACAAGGCACUGGAAUCGUUUCUUGUCUUCAAAUUAGUCCUGAGCUGUACUGGAGAAAGAAAAAAAGGGGCCUUUACCCUUCUCGCUGUCUUGUCACCACAAGAAGAGAAAAAGACCGGUCUCUGUUUGGAAAUUACAAACAUAGAAGAACUUAGAAACAAUACGUUUCUAGAUUGGGUGGAAGAUGCUGUUGCAGAAAAGCAGUCCAAAAUCAUCCACAAGCUGAGAAAUCGGCUCCUGGACAUUAGAGAGUGCCUGGCUACUUCAAGAGUUGAGCUAAUCACAGGGAAGAUUCAGUCUCAGUUCAGCUGCCUCAUUUGAUCAGCUCAAGACUGAGUCCAACAAAAGUGGUCUGUCUAAUGAAACUCAUUUUCAUUUUUUCUCAUUAGUCUAUACACGAUUGAGACUGUAGAACGACAAAAGAAUAAAAAGAAGAAUGACAAUUAAAAAUCAUUUUCUCUGGCCCUUGAUUUUUGCCUUCUUUUUUUUAAAUGUAGUUACGUGCUCAUUUUUUGUUUCUUUUUUAUUCUCUGCUCUUCUUUUCUAUUGAUUUUCCCAUUUAUGAAGGGGGAAUUAGUAAAUCCAUGGUCUGAGUGCUGAGAUGUUCUGAUAGGCCUUCAAGUUUUCAGCUGUACUCUGAAUCAGAAUAAUAUACUCCAUCAAGGAGACUGACAUUGGCACCACCUUCCCAGAAAUCCAGGAGCGCCUUUGCAUGAGUAAAAGCAGAAGGGAGUAAAGUCAUGAAACAUUGUGUGUGUGUUUGUAUAAAACUGUAUAUUUUUGCUCACAUAUAAUAACUAUAUAUUUCUGCUAAUUUUUCCUUUUAAAGGCUAUUAAGUUACUUAAAAUCCAUUGCCUAAUAAAACUGCAAUUCACCUUUGUAAUUCACUCAUUUGUUUGCUGUCACAGGGAAGAUAGAAAUUGAGCAUGUUUUCGGCCGGGUGUGGUGGCUCACGCCUGUAAUCCUAACACUUGGGGAGGCCGAGGUGGGCGGGUCACGAGGUCAGGAGAUUGAGACCAUCCUGGCUAACAUGGUGAAACCUCGUCUCCACUAAAAAUUCAAAAAAUUAGCCGGACGAGGUGGUGGGUGCCUGUAGUCCCAGCUACUCGGGAGGCUGAGGCAGGAGAAUGGCAUGAACCCUGGAGGCAGAGUUUGCAGUGAGCUGAGAUCGAGCCACUGCACUCCAGCUUGGGCGACAGAGCGAGACUCUGUCUCAAAAAAAAAAAAGAAAAGAAAAAGAAAAAAAGAAAAAGAAAAGAAAAGAAAAGAAAUUGAGCACGUUUUCUGCUCUCCUUCAAUACCAACCUCAGAAUAAAGUGAUGGCGGAGAGAAAACAAGGAUCUUGUUUCAAAAAUCCUUUAAUUCCAUGUAACUGAAAACAUGAGUCCCACUGACAGUUUUUAAAAAGGUAAGGAG
ensembl:lincRNA